GAGGGUAUAGCUCAAGUGGUAGAGUGCAUGCUUAGCAUGCAAGAGGGCCUGGGUUCAAUCCCCACUGCCUCCU
rnacentral:tRNA from 1 species